rnacentral:misc_RNA from 1 species
GGGAGUAAAAGUCGUAACAAGGUCUCCGUUGGUGAACCAGCGGAGGGAUCAUUACCGAGUUUACAACUCCCAAACCCAAUGUGAACCAUACCAAACUGUUGCCUCGGCGGGGUCACGCCCCGGGUGCGUCGCAGCCCCGGAACCAGGCGCCCGCCGGAGGGACCAACCAAACUCUUUCUGUAGUCCCCUCGCGGACGUUAUUUUUACAGCUCUGAGCAAAAAUUCAAAAUGAAUCAAAACUUUCAACAACGGAUCUCUUGGUUCUG